GCCUGGUUUGUUCAGUCGGUUGAGCACCUGACUUCAGCUCAGGUCAUGAUCUCACAGUUCGCAGGUUCGAGCCCCACGUCAGGCU
rnacentral:tRNA from 1 species